GAUGAACGCUAGCGGCAGGCUUAAUACAUGCAAGUCGAGGGGUAGCAAGAUUGUAGCAAUACAAUUGUUGACGACCGGCAAACGGGUGCGGAACACGUACACAACCUUCCUACAAGUGGGGAAUAGCCCAGAGAAGUUUGGAUUAAUACCCCGUAACAUAGCGAUGUGGCAUCACAUUGCUAUUAUAGCUUCGGCGCUUGUUGAUGGGUGUGCGGCUGAUUAGAUAGUUGGCGGGGUAACGGCCCACCAAGUCUACGAUCAGUAGCUGAUGUGAGAGCAUGAUCAGCCACACGGGCACUGAGACACGGGCCCGACUCCUACGGGAGGCAGCAGUAAGGAAUAUUGGACAAUGGACGCAAGUCUGAUCCAGCCAUGCCGCGUGAAGGAUUAAGGUCCUCUGGAUUGUAAACUUCUUUUAUAAGGGACGAAAAAAGGUCUUUCUAGAUCGUCUGACGGUACCUUAUGAAUAAGCACCGGCUAACUCCGUGCCAGCCGCCGCGGUAAUAC
rnacentral:rRNA from 1 species